rnacentral:rRNA from 1 species
CAGUCGCCACGGUAAUACCAGCACCUCGAGUGGUCAGGAGGUUUAUUGGGCCUAAAGCAUCCGUAGCCGGUUGCAUAAGUUUUCGGUUAAAUCUAUGCGCUUAACGUAUAGGCCGCCGAAAAUACUGUGCAGCUAGGGAGUGGGAGAGGUACACGGUACUCGAUAGGAAGGGGUAAAAUCCUUUGAUCUAUUGAUGACCACCUGUGGCGAAGGCGGUGUACCAGAACACGUUCGACGGUGAGGGAUGAAAGCUGGGGGAGCAAACCGGAUUAGAUACCCCGGUAGUCCCUGUCUCUUAUAU